rnacentral:lncRNA from 1 species
GUUUUGGUGGUUGAGGAAAUUUCUUGCCAUUCACAAACCUGUAAAUAUAUGCUGAAGUUAACAUCUUUAGUCUCUAAUUCUCCCUGUGCAGCUUCUAUCCUGCCCCUCAAAGUUCACUUUAUCAUCAGAGUGAAGUUACAUUGUCUGUUGUGCACGCUGUAAGGAGCAAGGGGCUUAUAUACAGCUAUAUCGACACUCUUUUGUCUUCCACGAUUGUAUUUUAUUGCCUUUCAUGCUGACUAUCUGAAAUUUCUUCCAGGACAUUUCAAAUUAUAUUAACUAAGUCCUAC